AACGAACGCUGGCGGCAUGCCUAACACAUGCAAGUCGAACGAUGGUCUUCGGAUCAUAGUGGCGCACGGGUGCGUAACGCGUGGGAAUCUGCCCUUGGGUUCGGAAUAACAGUUGGAAACGACUGCUAAUACCGGAUGAUGUCGAUAAGACCAAAGAUUUAUCGCCCGAGGAUGAGCCCGCGUCGGAUUAGCUAGUUGGUGGGGUAAAGGCCUACCAAGGCGACGAUCCGUAGCUGGUCUGAGAGGAUGAUCAGCCACACUGGGACUGAGACACGGCCCAGACUCCUACGGGAGGCAGCAGUGGGGAAUAUUGGACAAUGGGCGCAGGCCUGAUCCAGCAAUGCCGCGUGAGUGAUGAAGGCCUUAGGGUUGUAAAGCUCUUUUACCCGGGAAGAUAAUGACUGUACCGGGAGAAUAAGCCCCGGCUAACUCCGUG
rnacentral:rRNA from 1 species